GACGAACCGUGCAAACGUUGUUCGGAAUCACUGGGCUUAAAGGGCGCGUAGGCGGGCAAGCAAGUCGAAGGUGAAAUCCCACGGCUCAACCGUGGAAGUGCCCCCGAUACUGCUUGUCUUGAGGGAGAUAGGGGCGUGCGGAAUUUCCGGUGGAGCGGUGAAAUGCGUAGAGAUCGGAAAGAACACCAACGGCGAAAGCACUCUGCUGGGCCGACACUGACACUGAGAGACGAAAGCUAGGGGAGCGAAUGGG
rnacentral:rRNA from 1 species